ACUCCCUGUAUAUCAACACAAAUCCCAUAAAAAUUGGGAAAUAAACUGCAAUCUUUAAGGUUGGAUUCCAAUAUUGUUGGAUGGGUUAGACAGUUAAUGACAGGCAACAGAGGGUUGUGGUUAAUGGAGUAUAUUCGAAGCAAUAUCACGUUACCAGUGGGGUACCUCAGGGAUUUGUACUUGGACCCAUUCUCUUUAGUAUUUUUAAUAGUGAUAUUGCAGAAGGUCUUGAUGGUAAUGUAUGUCUUUUUGCUGAUGAUACUAAAAUUUGCAACAGGGUUAAUGGUCCAGGAGGGAUAAGCCAAAUGGCUAAUGAUUUCGGAAAACUAGAAAAAUGGUCAGAGCUGUGGCAACUCAAGGGCAGAGUACAGAAUAUUUGAUACCCCUUACUAACCUCAACAUCUGAGGACAGGGAUUUAGAAGAAAUUAUUUCACAUGACCUAAAGGUAGGCACUAGGCAGACAAUGUAAUAAAGCAGCAGGGAAUGCUAGCAGAAUGAUUGGAUGUAUAGGGAGAGGCAUUAGCAAUAGAAAGAGGGAAGUGCUCAUGCCAUUGUACAGAAUACUGGUGAGACCUCACUUGGAGUAUUGUAUGCAGCGCUAGAGACCGUAUCUCCAGAAGGAUAUUGAUACUUUGGAGAGAGUUCAGAGAAUGGCUACUAAACUGGUUCAUGGAUUGCAGGAUAAAACUUACAAGGAAAGGUUAAAGGAUCUUAACAUGUAUAGCAUGGAGGAAAGUCGAGACAGGGGGGAUAUGAUAAAAACAUUUAAAUACAUAAAGGGAAUCAACACAGUAAAGGAGGAGACUAUAUUUAAAAGGAGAAAAACUACCACAACAAGAGGACAUAGUCUUAAAUUAGAGGGGCAAAGGUUUAAAAUUAAUAUCAGGAAGUAUUACUUUACAGAGAGGGUAGUGGAAGCAUGGAUUAGCCUUCCAGCUGAAGUCAACUGGAAGGGAAAAGUUGAAAGAAGGAAGGAGUGAAGGACUCUGACUCCCUCUCCUUCCUCCCACGCGGCUUCUGGUGGUUGCUGGGAGGAGUGACCGUGGCAGUCACUUCCUCCCAGCGUCUGACAUCAUAAGAGGGGGCCCGAUCGCGCUUUUUUUCCCUGGCCCACCCAGAUGAUGAUAUUCAUUUCCACACGAUGGGCCAGUUCACCUGCGGCCCUGGCAAUUAUACUGCGCAGCAAGGGGCCGCAACACAUGGCGGCGGGCACUGUAGUGACGGGCCAGGUCACAGCUACGACCCCUGCUACCAUGGUAUUUACGCCGCUGCCACGGACUAAUUAAAGUACUUAAAAUUUUGGGCAGACUAGAUGGGCCGAAUUGUUCUUCUCUGCUGUC